GUCACUGGUGAGAGGCAGUCUGACUAAUUAUGAAGGAGUUGGUAAACCGCCUGCAUUCAUAUUUCUGUGGAAUGCCUGCACAUCCCAGUCCGGUGACUCAGCGAGGGCUGCUCCUGCGGCUUGUUCCAAAGCACACUGGGAGUUGUUGGGCAAAUAUUUGAACAGACUUUCAAUCUGAAACCCACGAGAAGCCCAGCCGUUCAGCGGCAGAGCCUACAACCCCUAGUAGCUCUUUUAGCCCCUUACAGCCAACCUCUGAUGAGUCUGGAAACAACUGAGCAACGAAUUCCAAACGGGACUGGCUCUCCAGAAAAUAUGUCACUGUUAAGGGGAGGGGAGAGGAAAGAUAACCAGAGGUCCAGAGCACCCCACUCCCACCCAGAGGGCUCCCUUUAUCUCCUAUGGUCUGGGUGUAUGGUUAUUCUGUGUUCAGAAGGAACUGAGUAUAUGAUUAAUUUUUGAUCUAGAAUGAGUCAGACAUGGGUGUGAAUUCCAGUUUUCCCAUCUACAAAGUGCUAAUUACAAACGUGCCCUCUUCCUGGGAGCUAGAGAGAGUUAAUGAGGCAAGAGGACAGUGCUGGGCAUGCCCCUUAGCGGGGCCUCGGAGGGUCCCCUCCACUUCAUUCCCCUCCGACCCUGCCCCGGGGCAAGGUUCAGUGGCGCAGAGGGGCUGCCUGCCUGGGUGGAGGAGAGAGUUGGGUUUCUCUAUGAGCUGCCCACCUAAAAGAUGACUCCACGGGAGACCCCGGGGGAUUUCCUGUAAUUUUUACUCUCAGUGUCCUAUUUAUAAAGUUUAGUCACUGCCGUUGUUUCGCAGCCACUUGGCAUGUGGAGACAGGUCAUAAUCGGAAACGGGUUCACAGGAGACUUCAUCUCACCCGCAGGCUUUGGGGGAGUCUGGGUCCAGCUCAGGAGACUUGCUGGGCUGGGAGGCUCAUCUUCCCAUUGGCCAGCCACACCCUGCUCUUACAUAUUCAAAGGAGAGUGGCCUCUGUCUUCAAGGGUUCCUUACAGGCUGCUUGUGAAGCCCAUCUCGGCGGGAGGCCUUGGCACGGAGUAUGGUCCCAAGAAGGCAUCUUUUGCUUCCUGCAGCAAGAACAGACCUGCCCAAGCAUCUCUGCUCAUCCCUGUCUCCAUAAAAAAAGGCAGGUUUUCCCGGGAGGUUCAGAGCUCCAAAGCCGGGCGUGCAGAAAUAGUGGAAACAAUUGAGGGGCAAAAGCAGGGGAACUGAACUGAAUCCAGCGAAGCUCAGCUACACUAUUUUGUUCCUGUUUGAUCCAGGACAGAGCCACAAGGGAGAACAAAGCCCCCUGCUGACUUCCCGAUUUCAUACCCACUCUGCUAGCGGCUGAAAUCAGGCUCUGUAAUCAGGGCUGGUAAACCAUUUCCUGUCUCCAGUGCUCCCAGAACACUGGGCAGGGCAGGGGUAGUCCCAUUUGUUGUUUUUCAUGGGGACAUGGCGCUUUCCAACCACAGCAGGCUUACUUCUUAGCUGUAGUUUCUCAUUAAGCAAGGCGAUCAGCAAACCGGCAUAAGGUUCUUAACCAGUUUCUCUUGGGAACCAGUCCUGGAAGCCUCCUAGGUUUGACGCUGACCUCCGGGGCUCUGUGUGUACAGAGUUCAGGUCUGCAGGUGUCCGUGGCUUGAGAAGCUUUGGGAUCAUAGCCCCAGCAGUGAGGCGGCUUCUGGGCCUCUCUCAGCUUGUGAGGGCUGAGGUGGAGUGACUGUCAUAACCCCCGGUGGUCUCUUGUGCCAGGGCUCCUCGGUGGCCUACAUUAGAGAUUCGAUGGCCCCGGGGAAUUCCGGGGGACCUCUGGCCCACCCUCUGGAGCAUCAGGCCCUUUUACCACCUGUUGUCUCGGGCGCCUCUCAAGUCCCAGGCUGACCACAGUCUUGGCCCAAGUCCCCCCCAGUCCUUAUUCUGUUCUUUCUCUAGCUUCCUUCUUUCUGUAUGUCUCCACCUCUUUCCAUUUCUAGGACUUUAAGCCCCCUUGUCUCCAUCCCUGUGUUUGUGGCCUGACAGUAAGUCUCCAAAAGCUACCUGGAACCCACGGAUCAGUCUACAGAGGCCCAGAGACUUUCCGCUUCUCAGUCCCAGAACUGUGAAAAAGUACAUUUCUACUGUUUGGAAGGUGCCCAGUCUGUUGCAACAGUCUCGUUUGUGAUGGAGUCAAGGCCCAUUCAGAACAGCUCCAUGUGCUAAGUGCUCCUUGGUGCCCACUAGCCGGGACAUCUCAUUUGCAAGGAAGCAUGGAUGGUGUAAUAAUGGGAGCAAACCUGCACAUCACUGGACUAUAAAAUCCAUUAAAAUAUUGACGGGUUUAAAGACUUAAUGACCCAGCAAAGAUGGAAAAUAUGUUUAAAUGCAGAUCUUGGUCAUUAAAAAAGCAUUUGUUAUGCCACAUUGGCCUCCUCUGAAAAUGGGUCUAAAGCAAGAACACACAUCACAAGAGUCUGGACCAGCAAAGGAGAUAUACUCCUCAUGGGGUGUCCAAUGAAGCAAAAACUCUGAGGUGCACAGAUUGCCCCUCUGGGCUGGUGAUACGGAAGCUCCAGAUAUGACAGAAGCUGCAGUAAAUCCACUACUCUAGAGACUUCUGAACUGUGAAAGCAUUUUCUGAGGAAGCCCUUCCUGAAGAGAAGAUACCAGAAACAGCAGGCGGUGAGGCAGCUGGAGAAGCUUGUGGGAGGAAAACCACUGAAGGGAGUGACUGGAAGAGGCUAACAGUUCCCCGUGGGUCCGUGAAUGGUCUUUCCCACCCAGCUGUAGCUUCUGCAUCUAUAUGAUAACCAGGGCUUUUGCAUUUAUAAGACAACACAGCCCUGGAGUCUGGGUGCUUAAACAGAAGAAACAUGUUCCUUAUAGUUUCUGAGAGUGAAAGACUAAAAUGUGGGAUCCGUUUCUUUUGUGGACUGUGAGGAAAGCACGUCCCGGGUGUCCCUGUCUUACUUGGUGUCCUUAUAUUGUCUUCCUUCUGAACGUAAGAAUUUCUUCUUGCUGUAAGGACACCAGAGAUCUCAGCUAAGAUGGUGGAAUAGAAGCAUCUUUUGUUCAACUUGGAAUGAGAACGAUCAAGCCAACAGAGGAGACAUUAUAUCUUCUGGAGAGAAAGUGAGAAACUCCACGAGCUAAUAAAGACUCCAGUCAGGUUGCGUUAGCGCCCGCCACGGUUGACCUCAUUCAACUUCGUUAGCUCUUCAUAGAUGUCACUUCCAACGUGGUCCCACUGGACGACUGGGGAGGAGGACUUCAACGUUCCAUUUUGGGGCAGUGGGACAUAGGUUGGUCCCUAAUAGUAACUGAAUGAUGACAGUGCACACAAAGGAGCUUUUGUAUAGGAAAUACUAAAACCUCAGUGUUGAAGAAGCUGAGCUUUCCUGAGGGUUUUCCCGAUGUAAGUCCAGCUCUCAAAGAUCGCCUCUGACAAACUGCAUGGGCAGCAACCGAGGCAACAGCUAGGGCUGUCAGUCAUCAGCAGGUCACAGGAUCCCGAGCACAUGACAUGGACCUCUGAGACUCAGUUCUCUUACUUAAAGUAAAGGAGUCAAGCCUGUGAGUUGAAUGUGCGGAUUGACAUUCCAACCUCUACUGUAUGACAGAGCAAGAAGAAACAAAACAGCAAAACCUACUUUCCCCGAAUUCCUUGGCAGCUAGAGUUUUUGUUGUGAGUUAAACACCCCCACUCCACCCCUACCCAUACUCACCCCUGCAACCUAGAUGCACUGGUGUGAAUGAACUUGAGGACAAGUGUGAAGCAGAAGACACUUUCCUACUGCUGCUUCUGCUGUAGGGUCUUAUAAGUAGGUCAAAGUUCUAGAAGCCAGCUAUGGGGGUGGGGUAGUGAGGCAGCAGCAGUGGAGUACUCCAGGAUUUCCUCCUGAAGACAAGAUGGCAAAAUUAGGACACACACACACACACACACACACACACACACACACACACACAGAGAGAGAAUUUCAUUGUCAUAGCAAAUGACUGGCGACAUUCGAAUGACCAUUGAUGGUGAUCGAGUUGAAUACACCAUGGGUCAUCUACACUCAUGCUGGAGCACUGUGUGGUUUCUAAGGAAUAAAAGGAGGUUUCCACAUAGUGACAUGGAAUAAUUCUCAAGAAAACUGAGGGAGAAGAAAGUACAACCUUUUAACACUGCCACUUAGAAAGAGAAGCUAAAAGUGCUUACUUAGGACUCUGACAUUGUUUGAAAGGAUGCUGUUUGCACCUGAACUUGCCUUUCUCCUCUGCCUCCUAGGGAAUGGAAUUAUAGGCAUGUGCCAUGCCACCAUGCUGGUUCAGAAGAAAAACUAAACAAUGGACAAAGUAUUAUGGUUUGGCUCUUAAUAGUUUUCUAAUGUCCAGGAGAUGAUUAACCAAUUUGUGGGUUCACAAUUUCAUGAAGGUUCUGUUCUAAGCCCUCUGCUUACUCUUCAUCCUGGGUCCAGACUCUACCCCCCAUGUGCACCCACCAUGAUGCUCUGCCACUCCUCAGGCCAGAACAAAGGAACCAAGCAACCAUGGGCCGAAACCUCUGUAAUCGUAAGCCAAAAUGUUUAUUAUUUGUUAUAAAUAGAUUUUUUCAUGUAUUUUGUCACAGCAAGAGAAAGCUGACAGCACACACGCCACAAUGAGUUGGCCCCAGAAAUCUUUCUGCAUAGUAAAAACAGCAGCACUAUGAUGUUAGGUCCUAGCCUGGCUCCUGCCAGUUCUGAAGAGCAGGAGAGUGGUCCAGGAAGAUGAGGGAAGGGCUUGUCUAGGCUCACAUCUUUGCGGAGAUCUGGGUGUUUUUAUCUUCCUCCUUUCACAGGUGAGGAAAUGAUAACAGAAGAAGGUCAGCAGCUUGAUCACAUCCAUGAGACAGGUAGAGCAGUCCAUCCCCCUUUCUGCAGGACAUGUUUCUUCUUUUAAAAGAUUUACAAUGCCUUGAUUUUUCUAUGCGUAUGAAUGUUUUGCCUGCAUGUAUGGAUGCAUACCAUUUGUGUGCCCAGUGCACUCGGAGUUCAGAAGAGGGUGUCAGAUCCCUAGAACUGGAGCUAGGGAUGGUUGUGAGUCACCAUAUAGGUGCUGGGAAUCAAACCACGGUCCUUUGCAAGAGCAACAGGUGCUCUCAACUGCUGAGCAACCUCUCCAGCCCCCAACAACUUAUUUCAAGAGCCCUCGCUGGAGAACCAGAAACUUUUCUAUCUUUAUUAGUAUUCCCCCGCCCACACACACAUACACACACACACACACACACACACACACACACACACACACACACACACACCAAAGCAGGGUUUUAUGCAGUUUAGGGUGUGAAAGCAAAACUAGCAUGGGUGUCUAUUGCUUUAACCCAGUUCCACAGGUUUGCUCUUGUUGCAUGUCUUAGCAAGCGUGGCAUGUGUUUCUCUUCCCUGGUGACUAUUUCCUUCGUCUUUUUCCCCCAAAUCACUCGUGUGACCUGACCACAACACAAAGAUGGUGAUCUAAUAACCGAGGUGACUAUUGACGAACAGGUAGGUAGUGUAGACAGCAUAGACCCACUGGGAAAGAGUUGAUUUGUUAUCUGUGAACUGAAACUGUGGAGAGAGAGAUAGACAGACAGAGACAGAGAGAUAGGAGAGACAGAGAGACAGAGAGAGUGCUAGGGAGCUGCAUAUGUGUUAAAGAUUCUCCAAGGCCAAAUGAUGGAAAUUUAGGAUUAUGGCGAGCUAUACUAUUGCAGACCACAGUUAAAUUAUCUUGGGCUAAUUUUAGUUCCUUUGAAAGGCACUCACUGCUCAUACCUAUGUCUGGUCUAACAUGCUUUAUGCCUGUGAAAACUCUAUGAUGUAUUCUUAGCAGAUCACUAGCUUCCAUUCCAAAAGUUAAAAGUGCCAUCAGGUAUUAUCUGAAACCUGUCACAGAGUUGUCCCUGCUUUGCCAUCAGCUGCCUGCCUGCCUGUAACCCCCACUAAUGCAUUUAGCAAACACUUUGAUUUGUGACUUUCUUGGUUAUGUAACUAAUAAGGUCUCAGGUAACCACUUCCAUGGUGAAACAUUUGAGGGUUUGAGAUCUGUGCGGUGUUUCCAGGCCACAGUCACUUGUGCUUGGCUCCAGAAUAAACUCCCUCUUACUCUCAUUGAGGCCAGAACCAUGGUUUUUGCAUCAACAUAUCAAACACGGCUGUGUAAAAACUUAGGAACUUCUUAAGUUCUGGAAAUUUCCAUUUAAUACUUCCGGAUUAUGAUCAGUCAUGGUUGCUGAGCUAGUGGAAAGUGAAGCCACAGGCAAGAGGGACUUCUGCAAAACUCUAGCCCAGAGCUUUGUAGUCAGGCCUUUGGCCCUCAUCUCUAAAGGUCACUCUCUCUGGAUCCCCAGGCUGAGCCUUUAGAGUGUUGGGAUUUGAAGUGAGGCAUUUCCGGUGUCUAUCUUGAUGCUUCACCCUAAAGUUGACCCACAGACCUGUUAGAAAGGGUGGACCCCAAGCCUAGCCAGGGCAUCAACGCUGGGAAGGGGAGGAGGGAAGCAGCCCUCAAAGCCAAAGACUUUUUGUCUGACUCCCUACAGGAAUUACCUGAGGGGCCUUAAAAACCCCGGAUCCCAGGCCCUCUGAGAGACUCUCAUUUAGCAGUGUGGAGGGCAGCUUUGGCUGGUGGUUCUAGAAGCCCCCGGUAAUUCCAGGGAGUAGCAGAGCUUGAGAAACACUGCUGUUGCUGUUACCGAAUGGCUGGGGCAGAGGAUGGAAGGCAGUACCAAAGAUGUCACCUGCCUGCCUGCUAGAAAUGAGGGUUCUCUGCCCAGGCCUACUGAGCCUGACAUCUGGCUGGU